rnacentral:tmRNA from 1 species
GGGGUUGACCGGUUUUGACAGCGGGCAGAAGUGGUUUGUAAGCAUGCAGCGCAUCGUUGUUCAGCGCUUUAAUCUUGAAUGACAAACAAUUAACUGGCGAAAAUAAUUACGCUCUCGCUGCUUGAUCGAAGUAUAGUAGAUUGUAGCUUUAUUCCGGCUCAAGGAGCCGGAACGAGACAUCACCCGGAGCUCUGGCUUCGAAGCAAACCGAAACGGUGGUGCAGCCAUAUCGAAGAUAGUUUGAUGUAAACCUCGGACUUCAAGCGAAAUUAAGAGGAUAAGCUCAAUAUCGGUGGCCUUAGUCUUGUAUUGAGUCGAAAACCAAAGUAAGGAUAAGCAUGUAGAAAGCAAAUUAAUUCCUCGUUUGGACGAGGGUUCGACUCCCUCCAACUCCACAA